GACGGAGGAUGCAAGUGUUAUCCGGAAUCACUGGGCGUAAAGCGUCUGUAGGUGGUUCGUAAAAGUCCACCGUUAAAAAAUUGAGGCUUAACUUCAAAGAUGCCGUGGAAACUUUCAAACUAGAGUAUGGUAGGGGUAGAGGGAAUUUCCAGUGGAGCGGUGAAAUGCGUAGAUAUUGGAAAGACCACCGAUGGCGAAGGCACUCUACUGGGCCAUUACUGACACUGAGAGACGAAAGCUAGGGGAGCAAAUGGG
rnacentral:rRNA from 1 species